rnacentral:lncRNA from 1 species
UUUUAAGGUAUAGGCUCACAAGGAAAAGAAAUGGAGGAGAAGACCAUGGCAACAAAAUUGUGAAAACCAGGAUACCAAAGGAACAAUUGAUGGCUGACAGUAGCAGACCAGAAAAGGCUGAAUUCUGAGCUGCCUGAAGGAAAGGAGCAGAUUCUCCUUUAUUUGGAAAGCCAUUUCAAGGAAUCUAUCAAGCCUAACUAUAGAGCUAUUACUCUUUUGGAGUUUAGAUUUUGAAGGACUUGUGUGAGGCAGGCUUAAUUUACAAGAGCUGACCCCAGUCAUCAGACCCCGUGUCCUGAAGGAGAGGAAGACCAACAGGAGCCAGAACCUUUCCUUGCCAAGCUCCCCUCUCGGCCUGAGCUUCUGGAAUAUCUCCACGAAGUCUACGAGGUCCUCACAAUGUCAAUGUCACCCAGCUUGGGUGGACAUCACCAUGCAGUACCGGCAGCCAAUCACAGCAUCACACACACCCCUGCUGGAAGCCUCCUCUGCACAGAAUCCCCCAGAAAUGAUCUUCUGUCUUGCCUUCUAAUCCUCCCAUUAACUGCCACUUUACAGUAA